rnacentral:rRNA from 1 species
UUGUGAUCUCAUACAACAUGUGUUAUAUUUUUCGUUAACUUAAUGAAGGUAUGAUACUUUUGUGGACAUUGGGGGGUCGUGAAGACUCUAUCAGUGAGUAUUUGUUCUCGGAAGGGCCAUAUAUAAAUAUUGAAUAGUCGGACAUAGUACGAUAAGGUUGUAUGUCUAAAGGGAAACAGCCCAGAACAAGAGUUAAUAAGGUUCCAAAAUUAUUGUUAAGUGAAAUUAAGGUAGUAUUUAUCUUAGACGGCCAGGAAAUAGGCUUAGAAGCGGCCACUUUUUGAAGAUCUCGUAACAGAGCACUGGUUUUACUUACAGAGUCAUCUAGUAUAAAAACAAGGAUAAAAGCACUGAAAAUUUAACGGAUCUAAACAAUAUACCGAUACCUUGUCUAUACAUAUAGAUAUAUGUAUGGGGUAGCAGAACGUUGGGUAAAUUACUCAGCUCUAGAUCUUUUUGAGGUACUAGAGAAUAUGAUUUUUAACCGGGUUGUAUUAAAAAAUCCCAAGUGAUAAUGCUGACAUGAGUAACGAUAAAGGGAGAAAGCAGAUGCUAAUGCGGUAUCCCUUCGCCUUAAGCUUAUGGUAUUUAUUAAAGUCACGGCCUCUAAGUUUACCAUAUCUUAUUAUAACUAAAUAAGAUAGACUUUUUGUCUAUGAAUGUAUGUGUUAAUUAAUAGAUAAACAAAUGUCCAUUGAUUAAUAAGCAAAUACUUAAAAGUAAAUAAAUAUAUUGAAGUAAGUAUAAAUAGAUAAAAUGAACUAUAAUAAGAGAUAAUCCAAAAGGUAUGAACGAUGAGCAAAUCUAUAGUAUACAGAAAACAACAUAUUAAAUUUAUAAACUAAUUACAAUAAUUUUUUUGUACAUACAUAAAGUUUUAAUUAAGGUUAUAAAGUGACAGUGAAAUAUGUUCUGGAAAACUGUAAACAAGUGCUGUGAGCAAUUUCUUAUGGCAUAAACAAACUAAAUAGAUGAUAUAGCUUAUAUUGUUCAACAAUAUGUGUUGCUCUAGUACUAGUUUCUACCGUACCUAAAUACUACCACAAGAAGCA